CAGACUUGCCUGUAGUUGCUUAUCCGGACUUUUUGUCCGGUGCACUCUUCUGCGGGCAGGCCAGCAUCAGUUUGGGCGGUUGGAUAAAGGUCUCUGUCAUGUACCUCUCUUCGGGGAGAACUUAUAGGGGAGACGACAUGCAACCGGCCUGGACUGAGGUCCGCGCAUCUGCUAGGAUGCUGGCGUAAUGGCUGUAAGCGGCCCGUCUUGAAACACGGACCAAGGGGUCUAACAUGUGUGCG
rnacentral:rRNA from 1 species